CAAUGUCUCUACCAAGACGUAGACGGAAAAUCAGUAAAUCUGAAGAGAGGGAAAGACUGUAAUAACUGCAAAAUUUUUUGUCAUUGUGACAGAGCCACGGGGAGGAUUCAAAUAACUAAACCGGCAAGCUAUCUCAAGAAGGGAAAAAGAGAGGAAGAGAUGGUUGGGACGUUGGUAGAUGAAUAGAAUAGAACACGCAAUGGAACCAGGAUUGGCUUUUCAAUAUUUUUUUUGUUUGGUUGUUUAUUUCAUUUAUUUACUGGUUUGCAAUAGCACACGUGUUUCUUACA